GAUUGCUCGUAAAAUCCUUCUGUAGAGAAGGAGAACUUGCUGCCUUCGCAGGAACUGUACGGGAGGAGAAAUGGCAGUUACCACGGCACAGUCACCAGCCCGGUGGCGCCACAUUAGCAAGCCAAACUGCAACCAGACUUCCAGAUCCUCAAUUUUGAAAGGGACAAAGAAAAAAAAUUUUUUCCGAAGAAAGGGGUAAGUUCAUUGGAGCUCUUUGCUUACUCGUUUGUUAAUUGUAAGAACAUUUAAAACAGAAGCUGAUGAGUUUACCAGGUAGAAAAGGGGCUGCCGCUCUCUUAGGAGCUUUAAUCACAGUAUCGGCACUUUCCCUACGUGCGGUAAUUCAAGAUCUUCCGUGACCUUGCUUGUCUCAAGGCGGUCUUUUCAGCAGCCACCGGGCGGGGCGGUGCUCUGAGAAAUAAAGCGCCGGCCGGCCGGCAGCCCACACACUCUCCCGGCCCCGCCCCGCUCCCACGCCUGGAGAAAAGCUGUCAGAACCCCGCGGUAACUGCAGUCGCCUUAACAGCCAGCGUGCAGAGAAGAGCAUCUGAACGCUCGCACCGCAGAAAGGUGAUCGAGGAGGCUGGAGAGAACUGCUGCUACCUGCUUCAGCGUUAGUGUUGCCGGAGAGCCGUAGGAUCUGGGAGCCAGAGUAAUCACUGAACUGCUCAUGGAAGGGAUGUAACAGCUUGACAGACUCUCCAAAACUUGGGAGACAAAAACCCAGUACAGUUGGAAUUAUUUUUUGUUGUAUGAUCAGAACAACAAAACAAUGUUUGAAAAGGAUUUUCCCAGUGAGGUUAAAAAGCCAGCCUUACCUGCACACUGCAACCUGACCCACUUCCAGGAGGGUGAGAGCAUUUCCAAUCACAGCCAACGAUUCAAAUGCAAGCUAUGAAAUACAAAGUUAAGGAGAGCACAAGUGAAUAGCACCACAGAGGCUAUUGUAUUUACAAUCAACCCAGAGGCAGUGGUGGCCUGAGGUCCUGCCUAGCAUCUACAAAAGCCAGAACCCAUGACACUGGUAGGAAUGGUCUGUUGUAGCUACCAUCUAAUAAAAGUGAUCUUCAGAAAUAAUGCUCCCUAAAUAUGCAUUGUUUUUCCUUUUGGUGGGGUUGGGGAAGACUGUAAAAAGUAAUGUUUUAUGGGUAACAGAUUUUAAAAACAAACUUAAAACUCAUCCGUUUGUAGUAAAAUCAAACUGGAGAACUCUAUAAAAAUAUUUCAUUACCACCCGCUUGAAUGACAGCAUAAUCUUAGAAUUUAAAUUAGUGUAAGCACCACUAAGCUUCAUGUUCUACGCACCUUACUUCAUUUAAUCUUCACAACUCUUAGUAUGAGGUAGGUAUUUUUAUAACCAGAAGUGGGGAACUGCUUUUCUGCCAAUGGCCAUUUGGAUAUUUAUACCAUCAUUUGUGGGGCAUACAAUGUUAUCAACUUGAAAUUUAGUAAAUCUAUAGCAGGCAAAUUUUUUUAAGUCUCACCUGCAAUUGCCUUGGCUGGGUUAUCUAAUAAAAUGACUUAAAGACCUAUAUUUAAGAUGUGUUGAAAGUGCCCUUCUGAACCCUUUGAAUCUUAGGUCUUCUCACAUGCUUCCCACAUUCUCAGAACAGGUUAGCUGGAAUUUCAAAACGGCUUUUUGCCAGAUCAUAUUUAAAACCUUUGGGUGGCUCACAGAAUGUGGCUUGUUGGUAAUUUUCAUCAAACUGCCAUCCACUUCUGCUUACCUGCUUGGUAUGGUUGUCUACCAUACUAGAAGAGUCAUCGAUAGCCAAACAAAUCUGAUACUGACGUUUACUGGGCUUGGUCCUCCGAAGCCAAAUCUUGUCUUUCCGAAACUGACUAGCGAUGUAUGGAAUGACCUUCCGCAUGUUCAGCCGCUUCCCAGUUCGAUAGUCUCCUCUAUUGAAUUUGCCCCAACAGCAACACAGAUUAGUUACCAACUGGCCAUCCCUGAGAAUUCUCUUCAAGGACAAAAACCAGUAAUCCCAAAUAACCAGGAACCUGCCACAACAAGGUGUUACUUAACUGAGGACUAAACAUUUCUUCUUGACCACUAGCCAAAAACACUGGACAUAUACAAGGCAAUAAUUAUAUUCUUCCGGGGCCGGCGCUGUGGGUUACCAUGUGGGCACCAGUUCAAAACCCGGCUGCUCCACUUCCGAUCCAGUAAAAGAUGGCCCAAAGUCCUUGGGCCCCUGUACCCAUGUGGGAGAACCAGAAGAAGCUCCUGGCUUUGGAUUGGCACAGCUCCGGUUGUUGCGGCCAAUUGGGGAAUGAACCAUCAGAUGAAGACCUCUCUCUCUCUGCCUUUCAAAUAAACUUUUAAAAAAAUUUAGCUUCUUCCACAAACAUUACUUUUUAAAAAUACUGCAUUGAAUAUGAGGCCUUACAGUCUUUCUUUUCUGUUCUAUAUCUAUGAUUUGGACCUAUCAUUGCAAAGACAUAUGUGGGGCCGGUGCCUGUAGUGCCGGCAUCCCUGUGGGGCUGGUUUGAGUCCCAGCUGCUCCACUUCUGAUCCAGCUCUCUGCUGUGGCCUGGGAAGGCAGUGGAGGAUGGCCCAGGUCCUUGUGCCCCUGCGCCCAUGUUGGGGACCCGGAGGAGGCUCCUGCCUUCAGAUUGGUGCAGCUCUGGCCGUUGCAGCCAUUUUCAAAUAAAUAGAUAAAUCUUAAAGACAUAUGUAACACCUACAGCAAAAGAGUAACAACAGGUAUCAAGGUGAGUAGCACACACCCCCCCAACACCUUCUGUGGUAGAAGUAAACAGGAAAGUAGAGUAAGGAAUACCACAUUGGUGCCUCUGUGGCAAAAGUGGCAACCUAGAAGCCAGCACCAUAAAUGGUUAGGUGCAAAGCUCAACAGAAUCAGUGCACUGCCAUCUUUUCCAGGCAUACAAGGACUUCUAAUGGGUUAGACUUACUUGAGUUUGGCUGCCUGGGUAGGCUCUAAUAUGAGACGAAGCUGUUCACAUAACUGUUGUGAAAGAGGUGCAGUUAAGACCAGGUAACUCUGCCACAUCUCAGCUGCAGUCUUCUCCUGUGACAAGAUAUAAAUUACCCUUUGAAUGUCAGAGCCAGUCACACAUCAUUACAGAGGUCAAAAGUCUGAAGCAAAGCAACAGAAAACAGGCCCAAGCCUUCUCAACAGAAGCACCUGAGAGCUGUGCUCAGCAAGCUGCUGGUUCAUGAUUCUGAAUGUCUUCCCUAAAGCCAUAACCCACAGUUCCAAGUGAAAAAGUCUGAGACAAUGAAGCAGGUCAUUAUUGGAAUUCGCAACCAAAUCAACACCUAUUCAAAUCAAUCACAAGGGGUAAAGUCUACCCACCAAGAAGAGGCAGAGGUAAGUACAGAAGGAAUCCAGAUGGAAGCAAGUAUAGCCAUUGAUUUGUGGGCUCUUAAAAGUCUUGUUUCAAAAGUGACAGUGACAAGGGCAAAUCCCUAGGGUUAAUUCAUUCAGAUGUGUGCUCAUGUCCUGGGACACAAAGUCCCAUGACGUGUUUGCCAACUAUGACACAACACUCAGUACAUACAUAAGGUGGGAAUGAUGAUAAUCAAUACAGAGUGUACACACAAACAAGUAUGCAAAGGCAUUAAAAAUGAAACCCCUGGUAAAUCUAUACUGCCACAUUAAGUCAGCCAGCAGUGGUCCACAUGGUCUGUUCUCAGGAUGGCAUGGCACACACUUUUGCCCAGUUUUUCCAAUCACACGUUACAGAGCCAGCAACAGAAGCUAGAAGAGUUAAACACAUCUGUCUCCCUCCACUUUCAUCAGCUAGCUAAAUCUAGUGGCAAAGCAGGCACCGAGCACUGCACAUACUUAGGCUUCAGGAUUCCAAUUAUAUUCUCCAUGUGCUCAGUCCCUUUUACGAAGUAAUUGGAGCUAAGAACCUAUUAAGUUGUUGUAUCUUACCAACAAAAAUCAAACAGUUUUAAGGAAAAGCCUGUGACUUACUUCUUCUGGGUUUCCAGAUUCGUGUGGCUGCCACGUUUCCAGUUGUCUCUCCAGCUCCUCUCUUAGCUCACUGACAUCUUUUAAAAAGGGCUGAGAAGAAAAACCCACAGAGACAAAACAAUUUUAAAGGCCAUCCCUUGUGCCGGCUAACAGGAAUCUGUACUAAGAGCUGCACGGCCCGAGUUCCCAGAGCUUGGUGAGCUGAAGAAGCCUUGCCCUCACCGUACCAUAGGU